rnacentral:rRNA from 1 species
CGGAUUGCAGCCUGCAACUCGGCUGCAUGAAGCUGGAAUCGCUAGUAAUCGCGGAUCAGAAUGCCGCGGUGAAUACGUUCCCGGGUCUUGUACACACCGCCCGUCACACCAUGGGAGUCGGGAAUGCCCGAAGUCAGUGACCCAACCGAAAGGGGGAGCUGCCGAAGGCAGGCCUGGUAACUGGGGUGAAGUCGUAACAAGGUAAC